UAAAGUACGCUGCCCCGCAGCGAGGUUUGAGAACCCACAACACCAAGACGAGCACGGGGAGAUUGAGACGAGGAGGAGGAGCUGGGAAAGCCCUCCGGGUUAGCGCUGGGAUUGCCCAUCCUCCCUCUCUCUCUCUCUCCCCCCUUGCACGCAUGCAUGCGCGCAUCUCUCUACGUCUCGGGCGGUUCGUCGCGAAGACUCUGAGCCAAUGGCGGCGCGCCCUCGGGAGCCUGCCACGCUCGACCCGCAUCCUGCGCGAUGCGGGGGUCGGAGCCAGACGCAGCCGUCCUUCUUUUCUUUGUGCGGCCCGCCCUCGGAGAACCGGGGGAAGAGCGGGGAAAGCCCUUUCGCCCCCCGGCCUUCUCGGCCGCGGCGUCUGGGAUUGCCCCUCUCCGUCGGGUGCGGCCGCGUUUCUUUUCGUUGGGGUACGCAGAACGAAAAGCAAAGCCAUGACAGAGUGGGAAAGCCCUCCGCCACGCCUGAGUGCCGCUGGGAUUGCCCCUCUUCGAAAGCCGAACCCGCGGCGCGCCUAUCCGCCCGGGUUUAUCCCAUUCUUAAUCUCAAGUCUGAAACCACUGAACGUGCGCUGGACGCACGGAAAAGCUUCAUA
rnacentral:misc_RNA from 1 species